rnacentral:lncRNA from 1 species
GCUAGUUGGGGUGUACUGGUGGAGAGGAGCAUCGAUUUUGGACAGCCUCCUUCCCAUAUCUGAUCUCCCAUGAUCGGCCAGUCGUCAGCAUGCUAGUAGUCGGCAGAUGGCUAUCAGAGUUUGGGGUUGGUUGGUGACCCACUAAUGGAGGUUGAUCAAGGGAGGGAUCGUCGGCCAUGGUACUUUGUCUUCUCUUAUUAUCAGUGAGAGGAAGGAGGAAGA